GACGAACGCUGGCGGCGUGCUUAACACAUGCAAGUCGAACGGAAAGGCCCUGCUUUUGUGGGGUGCUCGAGUUGCGAACGGGUGAGUAACACGUGAGUUACCUGCCCUUGACUUUGGGAUAACUUCAGGAAACUGGGGCUAAUACCGGAUAGGAGCUCCUGCUGCUUGGUGGGGGUUGGAAAGUUUCGGCGGUUGGGGAUGGACUCGCGGCUUAUCAGCUUGUUGGUGGGGUAGUGGAUUACCAAGGCUUUGACGGGUAGCCGGCCUGAGAGGGUGACCGGCCACAUUGGGACGGAGAGACGGCCCAGACUCCUACGGGAGGCAGCAGUGGGGAAUAUUGCACAAUGGGCGGAAGAAUGAUGCAGCAACGCAGCGUGCGGGAGGACGGCAUUCGGGUGGGAAACAGCUUUCGCCUGUGACGAAGCGUGAGUGAAGGUAAUGGGGAAAGAAGCACCGGCUAACUACGU
rnacentral:rRNA from 1 species